GAGUUUGAUCCUGGCUCAGGACGAACGCUGGCGGCGCGCCUAACACAUGCAAGUCGAACGAGAGAGAAAGAGCUUGCUCUUCAAAUCGAGUGGCGAACGGGUGAGUAACGCGUGAGGAACCUGCCUCAAAGAGGGGGACAACAGUUGGAAACGACUGCUAAUACCGCAUAAGCCCACGGCUCGGCAUCGAGCAGAGGGAAAAGGAGUGAUCCGCUUUGAGAUGGCCUCGCGUCCGAUUAGCUAGUUGGUGAGGUAACGGCCCACCAAGGCAACGAUCGGUAGCCGGACUGAGAGGUUGAACGGCCACAUUGGGACUGAGACACGGCCCAGACUCCUACGGGAGGCAGCAGUGGGGAAUAUUGCACAAUGGGGGAAACCCUGAUGCAGCGACGCCGCGUGGAGGAAGAAGGUCUUCGGAUUGUAAACUCCUGUUGUUGGGGAAGAUAAUGACGGUACCCAACAAGGAAGUGACGGCUAACUACGUGCCAGCAGCCGCGGUAAUAC
rnacentral:rRNA from 1 species